rnacentral:lncRNA from 1 species
CGGCCACCUGAGCAGGUGCGGCCGAGCUUGUCCCUUCUGUCCUGGCUUUCUUCACUGACCCCGAAGUUGAGGCAUCUUUUCUCUUGUGGGUCUUGAGACCCUGGGCUAACCUCCGAGCCACGCCUGCAUCCAUGUCUGCAAUUAAAAAAAGAUCAACACGGAUCGGAGAUAGUAUAAGAGAAAGGGGAAGCAGCAAAAAAAAAAAAUGGUACCGACAGGGUUAAGAGGACUCAGGCCGACGUUGAACAAAAGUUGUUCCUUCAGAAGCUCGGAGAGGAGGGGGGCUUGAUAGGCCUUGAGCUUUUUGGAGGCUUCGAGGUCGUCCUUUUCC